UACAGAGGUCUCGAGCGUUGUUCGGAUUCAUUGGGCGUAAAGCGUGCGCAGGCGGUUUUGUAAGCCAGAUGUGAAAGCCCCGGGCUUAACCUGGGAAUGGCAUUUGGGACUGCAAGGCUUGAGUGCGGCAGAGGAGACUGGAAUUCCUGGUGUAGCAGUGAAAUGCGUAGAUAUCAGGAGGAAUACCGAUGGCGAAGGCAGGUCUCUGGGCUGACACUGACGCUCAUGCACGAAAGCGUGGGGAGCAAACAGG
rnacentral:rRNA from 1 species